rnacentral:lncRNA from 1 species
GGCAGUCCAGCCGCAGGGGCCACCCGAACAGUCUCUCCUCCUCACAGAAGCCUGGAGCUGGGCAUCCAAGAAGAAGCAGCCUCAUUUGUUUUCUGGUGUCAUCGUAGGUGGCCACCUAUGGCUUUUGGGCUUUCGGCCCCUGAUUUUGGUCUACUCCAAUUGUAGAAAGACCUACAUAGUCAAUGAUAGGCCACCCUGCUUCCAGUUCUGUGAUAGAGAGGAAAGGCAUUGGGGAUACAGGGAACUCUUUCCCCUUCUCCAAUGGGCUCCUGAGGGCAAAGUUGGAGGCCAAUUGACCUUGGGGGAGAUGAUUGGUUGGAGAAGGGAACAGAGAUACUUGUACCUGGGUGACAGAGCUUCUCACCUGGGGCGGGUGGGUUCUGCACCACCCUCCCACCCUCCUUCCUCCGUGUGGACGAUAGAGCCACAUCCAGCACCACGGACAGCUCCCGGGCGACCAAAAAGAAGAAUGUACUUCAUCUGGUUGGGCUGGAUUCCCUCUGAUAAGCCUUCCCAGUUGACUGAAAGAUGAGGCUAGGCUCUAGCAAGUUGAAGUCAAACCAGCUCCUUCAAGAAGCUUUGAGCAGAAUGAAGUGGGGAGGACCCAGCUUCCAGCCCAGGAAGCCCACUGUACCUGGAGCCAUCUGGGAUAAGACUUUGACCCAUGACUCCCAUAUCCACAGCCUGUCCAUCCUAGCCCAUCCCAGUUUAUCCUGUAUCAUUUGAGCUGGGAUUCCCACAUCCUCUGAGUUGGAAGUCCCAUCUCAAGUCUUCAAUAAAGACUCUUGAAUAUUGAAUCACAU